GGUCUUUUGCAAAAUGAAAAGAUAAAAACUUUAUUCUCAAACAUGACAGAGUGUUCCUUUUGUCAAUGGCAAAUCGAGGGAAACAUACCAAUGGUUCCCAGUUUUUCAUAGACAGUGUUACACCGUGCGAUCCAAAGAACUACAAAGCCUGCCCCGCACCUGAAUGGGGUUCAUGUUGUCUUUGGACUGGUAAUAUCUGGUUUUGAAGUAAUUGAACAGAUUGAAAACCUCAAAACAGAUGCUGCAAGCAGACCUUAGGCAGGAUGUCCAGGUUAUUGACUGUGGGGUCCUUGCCACAAAGUUGACAAAAGAUGUUUUUGAGAAAAAAAGGAAGAAACCAACACAUUCAGAAGACUUGGACUCUUCUUCCAGUUCCUCUUCUUCUUCAGAAUCAUCCUCAGAAAGUGAAGUUGAACAAGAGAGAGUCAGGAGGAGGAGACGUAAGAGGAGGCCAAAAGUCAGACAUACUAAAAAGAGAUGGAAAGAAAUGAGCAGUUCAGAAGAACUGAGGAGGAAGCGCACAGCAAGCCCUGAAGGUUAUUCUGAGAGGAGUGUUAUGAAUGAGAAAAGAUCAGUGAACUCAAACACUAAAAGAGAAAAGCCCGUUGUCCACCCAGAAGAGAUUUCUCCAGUUCCCGAGAACCGAUUUUUAAUUAGAAGAGAUAUGCCUGUUAUCACUAUGGAGCCUGAACAGAACAUUCCAGAUGUUGCACCUGUUGUAAGUGAUCAGAAACCAUCUGUAGCAAAGUCUGGAUUGAAAAUCAAAGGGAGAGGCACAAUUCGCUCUCACAUACCUCCAACGUCAAGAUCCCACUCUGAGUCCGAAGACGAUGACAACAGUGAAACUCCUCCUCGCUGGAAGGAGGAGAUGCAGAGACUGAGAGCUUACAGGCCACCGAGCGGAGAGACGUGGAGCAAAGGAGACAUGCUAAGUGACCCCUGUUCAAGUCGAUGGAAUGAAAGAAGCUUGUCCCAGAGAUCCAGAUCAUGGUCUUAUAAUGGAUACUAUUCAGAUCUGAGUACAGCAAGACACUCUGAUGGUCACCACAAGAAACGCAGAAAGGAAAAGAAGUUUAAGCAUAAAAAAAAAAAGCUAAAAAGUAGAAACAUUGCAGAAGACACAGACAGACAAAGAAGAGAAGAACAGUUAUGCCUGAUUUGGAACCCUCAAGAUCUCCCAUCCACCCAACAAAGUCUUCCUGUGUUAGAGAAAGGCGGUCUCGCGCCUCCUCCUCAUCCUCUAAUCACUCAUCCAAGCAGGACUGGUCUAAAUCAGACCAGGGUGACAGGAGUGCUUCAACCCAUUCCAGCAGAGACUCCUACAGAUCCAAGUCUCAUUCACAAUCAGAUUCUAGAGGGAGCUCUAGAUCAAGAGCUGUGUCAAAGUCCUCAUCUCGUUCCCACAAUAGAUCAAAAAGUCUAGAUCUAGUUCCAGGUCAGGGCCUCAAAGAACAACGUCAAUAUCCCCCAAAAAACCUGCUCAACUGAGUGAAAAUAAGCCAGUUAAGACAGAACCUUUAAGGCCAUCGAUGCCACAGAAUGGAAAUGUGUUAGUACAGCCAGUGGCAGCAGAAAACAUUCCUGUAAUACCACUGAGUGACAGCCCCCCCCUUCUAGGUGGAAGCCUGGGCAGAAGCCGUGGAAGCCCUCUUAUGAGUGAAUUCAGGAGGUGAAAGCUAAAACAACCCAUUUGCUGCCUGUCCAAAGCUCAUACAGUUUAACAAAUGUUAAAGCAACCAUGAGUUCAUCAUCUUAUCACAAAAAGGAAAAACCUUCAGAAAGUGAUGGGAGUUCUUAUUCAAAGUAUAGUGCUAGAAGUUCUGGAAGCUCAGGAAGGUCAGGGAGCAAGUCUUCUAGGAGUAGGUCAUCCUCCACUAUUCCAGAGCAGGAUGAGCAUAUGGCACAUCCCAGAGCAGGAGGGAAACAAGACAGUAUCGUGUCUGAAAGCAAGACCUUGGGUGAAAGUGGGGUUAAACAGGACAGCUCUACCAGCUUGACCAGUCCUGUAGAAAUUGCUGGAAAGAAGGAGGGGGCUGAGAAGAGCCAGAUGAACCUUACAGAUAAGUGGAAGCCAUUACAAGGUGUAGGGAAUCUGUCAGUGUCUGCUGCAACCACAUCCAGUGCUCUGAAUGUGAAGGCAUUAUCUACUGUGCCCGAAGUAAAACCGCAAGGCUUGAGGAUAGAAAUCAAAAGCAAGAAUAAAGUUCGGCCUGGAUCUCUCUUUGAUGAAGUAAGAAAGACAGCACGCCUAAAUCGGAGGCCACGGAAUCAAGAGAGUUCCAGUGAUGAGCAGACACCUAGUCGGGACGGUGAUAGCCAGUCCAAGAGUCCACACAGAUCUUGAAGUAAAUCUGAAAUCAAAUCUCGACACAGAACAAGGUUUGUCUCGUACAGUCACUCACGAAGUCGAUCUAGAAGUUCCACCUCAUCUUACCAAUCAAGAAGCUACUCUAGUAGCCGGAGCAGGGGCUGGUAUAGCAGAGGCCGAACCAGCAGCUGGAGCAGUUCCUAUGGAAGUUUCCAUAGCCACAGGACAUCCAGCAGGAGCAGGUCCAGGAGCAGCUCCUAUGACCCCCACAGCUGCUCCAGAUCCUACAACUAUGAUAGCUACUACAGCCAGAGUCGCAGCCGCAGCCACAGCCAGAGGACUGACAGUUAUCAUCAGGUAGAAGUUACAACAGGCAGUCCAGGAGCAGUAGAUCCUAUGGCUCGGACAGUGAAAGCGACAGAAGUUAUUCUCAUCACCGGAGGCCCAGCCAGAGCAGCAGAUACAGCUGA